GUGCUGCAGAUCUGGUGCAAUUAGCGGCCCGGGGGAGAGGCACCGUGAGAGACGAGGUCAGACAGUCAGUGUAGGGCUAGACUGGAAGCGCUUUCCACCCCAGGCUAGGCUGUUUGGACUUCUUUGGAUAGAAAACGAAGUGACGAAAUCAUGGUCUGUAAAACAUGUCAUUUAUAUGAAGGGAGGAUGACAAGAGAAAGCACUUGAAGUGGAGACAUCAAAGAAUUAGCACUUGCUUAGACAUAUGCGUUGGUAGCCGCCUUGUACCUCGCUUGGGGCUGGUGUUUCAUGCUGCUCAGUGGGACACAGAGUGACUGAGCACCAGUAUGCUGGUAGCAUGUCCUACAGCGGCCCCCGAAGCUGACCUUGUUUUUCCUUUCCCCCUUGUGGACCUUGUCUCAGGCCUGAAGGGCACAGUAGUGUCAUUACGUUGUCCCUCCCUCCACGUUGGUGAGCACAAGCAGAGCCGGGUGACCUCAGAGAUGUAAUCCACCCAUGAGUGUCAUUUGAACUUGAAACAAGAAGUGAUGGUGAGUCCUAGCAGGCUUCUGAUCAUAACUGCGUUGGAGAUGGGGCAGGAAACAUGAAAUGACAUUGCGCUCCCAAAAUAUAUGAAGUAGCACAAUUUCAAAAAUCCCGAACUAUAAAGCUACCUGGACAACUCCUGGAGACACCAUUUGCCUGUGAAUGUCACCUGUUUAGAGCACAAAUGGGUCUGACCUUGCACUCCGAUAUCGAUUGUCCUGAGAGCCUGCCUGGAAGGCACCCAUGCAGAGUGGAGUUGGCUGAAUAGUCAUCGCCAGUGCAGAAACCAGAAAGGGAUUUGGAGGUACCUGCUGUCGAUGAAGAAAAUGAUCUGGGCAGAUAUGCAUUAACCUAAAGGCAGUGUAAUUCUGAGAACCUCCUCGAUGAGAGGGUAUUUUGUCAUUUCUUUUUCUGUGGGAGUCCUUAGAAUAAACUGCAUAGAAUAAAUCUGAACAGAACCUUUGCAGGCUAUGUGAGAAAGACAAUGUGAAAAGAAAAUAAGAAAAUAAACAUGCACAUUUGCUUACUUCAUGUCUAGGUAGAGCUAUGUGUUAGAAGAUGGAGAAGCAGAUAAAGGACAAAAAAUAUACCAGAAUGUAUGAGACAGUGUAAAAGAAAUUGUGGGCCCAAAGUGGGAAGGGAGUUGAUUCUGGUACUUUUGAAAGGUUUCAGAUCUGGACUGUCUCAAUGAUGGAUUGUCUGACCCAUGUCUCUCCUGAACAUUUGAAAAAAAAAUGUUAAAUGAAAAUACUUCUGUAUAUCUUGCAGGGAUUUUGUUGACACUGUUUUCUUAGUUUACGGUAGUAGAUGGAUAAUAUGACAGACUUUACUCCAGAGAACCAACUCCUGUUUUUCUCAGUUCAAAGUACUCAUGUUCAUUUUGAAGAGCAUUAACCACAUUAAUGUUAUGCAUAACCAUGGGUGGAAAAUACGGUGAAUGACUUGGUAAGAAAUGUAAGUUAGAAACUAAACUCCUUUAUUAAUAGAAAAAUUUGAUAGGUUAAAAAAAUGGGACAAACCAAGUUUUCUGUAUGUAAGACAAGUCCUGAGUUAUUAUGAUAGUUAUAUUUCAAAAGGAAUAAUAGAAUAUGCAUAUGCAACUCAGCAAAUUGAAGAAAAUUUUCUAGCUUUGUUUUCUUUUCUAAUGCUGCUAGAGAGAAUAGAAUGGCUUCAUAUACAAUAGGUGGAACCUCAGUUGUUACCUGAGCUCAAUGCAGUAUUAGCAGACACAUGGAUACUUUACAACCUGACUGUAUUUGGUAGCUACUGAGCAUGAAUUCCUUAUAUACUGAGUGUAUAUGGAAGCUUUAUCUCUGUGACUUAUCUUUUUGAAGUCAGUUUUGAACUCAUUUGCAUACCUAGGACCAACUUAUUAAUAAGCAGUUACCUCUUGAAUAAUGCUCAUAAAAAUUAUUGAGUAAAAUAGUUGGCAUCUUCCUAGGGAUCCAAUAGGGAUGCCAAGUUCAAGCCUAAUUAUAACACUUUUGUUUGUAAUUGAAGGUGUAUCAAGUAAUGGCAUUUUAGUUUGCAAGCCAUGUAAUUUUCUGUGUAGAAAGGAAGGGCAAAUGUUUCCCAUGCAGGUAAUAUGGGAGGCCUUCUCCGGUCUCUCUCCUCACACACCCUGUCAUCAAAGCUGCUCUGGUGACUGAGUGGGGAAUUCCACUGUGGACCCACUUGGGAAACAGGAAGUGGCGCUGUGCCUCGGUCAACAUGGCUCCCCUGCCCAGUGAGAAGCCCCCCUGGUCCGGAGGUGCCAGCAAGGGUACGCCAAGCCAGGCUUCGAGGGAUCAGAAUUCUUCUAAAACAGAGGAGCAUCUUUAAAAAGCUGUCCCAAGGCCGUGAGCUAUUUCUAGGGUAGGAUUUUAUCUUGCAGUGCUGCGGGUUCAUAUAAUGGAACAAACUACAAAGUUAUAAUUUGUAGUAUAGUCAGAAUGUUAGCCACCUCUUGGGAUAUAAAUCUUGUUACAUGAAAUUUCUGCCAUGGGCUUUAUAGCAUUUUGAAGCCAAAAAUAUGUAUUUGUCUAUUUCACUUAAAAUAUGUAUACUUUUAUAUCUGUACUUCAUACUUAUAUAAUAUAUAUCAUAAAAUGUAUUAAACAUAUUUACACAAAAAUUCCAAAUAUAAAUAUAGCUUUGUCUAUUUGCCUUAAUACAUGACAUACAUUUAUAUAUUAAUACAUAUUGCAUAUUUUAUACUUAUUCAAUAUAUUAAAUAUAUAUGUAAAUUGCUUG